rnacentral:rRNA from 1 species
GAUGAACGCUGGCGGCGUGCCUAAUACAUGCAAGUCGAACGGAGAGUGUUAGCUUCGGUUGAUAACUCUUAGUGGCGAACGGGUGAGUAACACGUAGGUGACCUGCCCCGAAGAGGGGGAUAACCACUGGAAACGGUGGCUAAUACCCCGUAUAGUCCCGCAUUCGGUUGCGGGAUUAAAGGCUCCGGCGCUUCGGGAGGGGCCUGCGGCCUAUCAGCUAGUUGGUAGGGUAAUGGCCUACCAAGGCUAUGACGGGUAGCUGGUCUGAGAGGACGCACAGCCACACUGGCACUGAGACACGGGCCAGACUCCUACGGGAGGCAGCAGUGAGGGAUAUUGCGCAAUGGGGGAAACCCUGACGCAGCAACGCCGCGUGGGCGAAGAAGGUCUUCGGAUCGUAAAGCACUGUGGGGAGAGACGAAACAGCGCAUCAGGAAAUGGUUGCGCCUUGACGGUACCUCCUUAGCAAGCACCGGCUAACUCUGUG